AAGCCACAGAAGAACUUCUCUCCACAAAGCCCCCAUUUGUGGUCAUGGAAGGCAGGCGAAGGUUGAGAAUUGGCAGCAAACAAGACAAACAGACUCUGCUUUCAUGGUUUUGAGUACCUUGAGACCUACAGCCCCAAGCCAAGAAAUCCAGCUUUCCCAUCACAGCACAGGGUGCUAUAAAGAACAUCAGGUGGGUCAUGGGCUGCAGAGCAACUGAAUCCCCCUGAACACUCCCCCCGUUCAGGGAAUGCCAAGCUAAGGCCUCAGUGAGGAAAAGGAGCCAGGUCCUGAGAAGCUGCCAUUAGCUCUCAAGGCUUUGAGAGUCCAGCCAGUUUCUCCAGAGUGAAGUCCCCCUCCUCAGAGGAACAAAUGCUUUCAGAGGAACAAAUGCUUUCUGAGAAACUCGCCACUGGGCAGAUCCUGCCACCCACCUGCCUGCCGCUGCAAAGCAGAGCCUGCCCAAAAAGCUGCCAUCAUUCCCGGCACUGCUACAUAAAUGCUGAGUGUGGUGGCUUGAAUUGUGUCCCUUGAAAAGAUACGUUACCGUCCCAAUCCCUGGUACCUGGGAAUGUGACUUUAUUUGGAAAGAGGGUCUUUGUAAAUAUAAGAAGAUGGGGUCACGCUGGAGUAGGGUGUGCUUUAAAUCCAAAGGCUGUGUCCUCCUAAGAGGGAAAUGUGGACACAGGCACAGAGCCCCAUAACAGAAUGAAGUUGUGUUGUUUGAAGGCAUCAAGCUUGUGGUCAUUUGCUAUGACAGCCACAGCAAACUCCUACAGACAGAAGAGAAAAGACUCAAACCCAGGCCGUCUGUCUUCAGAACCUGUACUUAUUAAUAAAGAUUUUACCAUUUAAAACAUUCUUAAUGAGGCAAAGCUUCAUUAAGUGAAAUUCACAGUACGAUCUGACAAAUUUAAGCCCUGUGUAGCGCCACCUGAAUCAAGAUAUAGAACAGAUCAUUUCCCCAAGAAAAUUCCCCACUGCCCUUUUCUAGUGGGUCCAGUCCCUGUCCCGAGACAGCCACAGUCCUGAUUCCCAUCACCACCCAUCAGUCCUACCUGUUCUUGAAUAUCAUAUAAAUAAAACAGUACAU
rnacentral:lncRNA from 10 species